rnacentral:antisense_RNA from 1 species
CUCAAUGGCGGGCGGUGCGUGGGGAUCACUCGAUCCGCCGGGUGAUUUCUCACUCCGUUGUGUUUGCCCCGGCACGCCAACCCGCACCGUCCGCCACCUUC